rnacentral:rRNA from 1 species
GUGCCAGCAGCCGCGGUAAUACGUAGGUGGCAAGCGUUAUCCGGAAUUAUUGGGCGUAAAGCGCGCGUAGGCGGUUUUUUAAGUCUGAUGUGAAAGCCCACGGCUCAACCGUGGAGGGUCAUUGGAAACUGGAAAACUUGAGUGCAGAAGAGGAAAGUGGAAUUCCAUGUGUAGCGGUGAAAUGCGCAGAGAUAUGGAGGAACACCAGUGGCGAAGGCGAUUUUCUGGUCUGUAACUGACGCUGAUGUGCGAAAGCGUGGGGAUCAA